rnacentral:rRNA from 1 species
GACGGGACCCGCACAAGCGGUGGAUGAUGUGGUUUAAUUCGAUGCAACGCGAAAACCUUACCCACCUUUGACAUGGCAGGAAUCCUGAAGGGAUUUAGGAGUGCUCGAAAGAGAACCUGCACACAGGUGCUGCAUGGCUGUCGUCAGCUCGUGUCGUGAGAUGUUGGGUUAAGUCCCGCAACGAGCGCAACCCUUGCCAUUAGUUGCUACGAAAGGGCACUCUAAUGGGACUGCCGGUGACAAACCGGAGGAAGGUGGGGAUGACGUCAAGUCCUCAUGGCCCUUAUAGGUGGGGCUACACACGUCAUACAAUGGCCGGUACAGAGGGUAGCCAACCCGCGAGGGGGAGCCAAUCCCACAAAGCCGGUCGUAGUCCGGAUCGCAGUCUGCAACUCGACUGCGUGAAGUCGGAAUCGCUAGUAAUCGCGGAUCAGCAUGUCGCGGUGAAUACGUUCCCGGGUCUU